AUGUGUCCUGGCAGGGGAGAGACCAUGAUCAGAAAUGUAGUUCUCCCAGGACGAGAAUAUCCCAUUGCACUUCGGGUGUUCAGAUGCCUGCGAUGUCCCCAAGUGUGGGAAACUCGACUGCAAAAUUUGUGGUCAUGGGGGACCGCAUUCACGCUCUAUUCAG